ACCCUAGCCCUGGGUAAAGUUCCCCAGGUGGUGCCUGUUGGACCAGGAUGAUAAAUACCCGAUUAGCAACCCCCUGGGGGAGGGUGUGUUUGAACGCAGGCUUUGGGGCAGGGGCUGAGAAGGGCCGGGACACCUGCGUUUCUAACAAGAUCCUGGUAUGGGGAGCAGAGCCAGGAGAGGGACUGCGGGAGGGGAGCCUCGCGCUUCCGUCUUGUUUAUCCUGCUAAAGGAAACGGCCCUCCGGGAGCAGCUCAGUGGGAGAGUGCUUGGCAAGCAUGAACUAAGUCCUGAUUCUGACCCCAACUCUGAAUCUCCCCCAGGUGGUUCUGGGACACUGGACAAUGGCUAUUAUGCUCUAAGCCUCCGUUUCUCCUGCAAAAUGGAGUUACUGUCAUGGCUACCUCAGGACUGGGGGGAGGACAGCACAAGACCAUGCAAGAGGGCCUCACAGUGGCCGACACCCCUCGGAGGGUGUGUGCUGGUUAUCCAUCAGAAACGUUGACAAUUUUGAUUUCAAACGGGCUGGAGAUUUUAAGUAACUGCCAUGUGUGUGCUGCUCUGUCUUGGAGUUCUUCUCAAAUCUGAACACCCGCUGAAACCACUCCAACGGCCUAAUCAAGAGCUACCCAGAACAGGGCUUGGCGCAGAGUUGCUGCUCAGAAGCCACUGGGAGCUAGCUGACUGACAGACACUCGCGGCUGUCGUGAGGAUUAAACACACACUGGAGUGUAUUCAAGCAACCACUCUGGAGUUCACGGUAAAGCUAAACACUCACUGCUGUGACGGCAGUGUUCCUCCUGGGUAGACACACAGGAGAAACGACCGCACACAUCUGAAGGAGGUCGGGCACACGAACGCAUGCAGCGGCCUGGUGACGGCAGCCAAGACCAUCAAGAAGAGACCAGACAUGCACCGAUGUGCCCUCUUCCAUUCGAACAUCGAAAAGCCACUCAUCAAGAAGAGCUUCUGUGCUGAUCCGCCCAGGUUGGAUGACGCUCGUGGGCAGUACGUCGAUCAAAGGUAGCCGCUCUCAGAAAGAGAGGACACGCUGCGUGAGUCUAUUGAGAUGAAAUUCAGAAUAAAGUGAACCAGUGGAUUCCAGAAUUUUUCAUGUCAGAGAAGAAAAUGUGUUCUGACCUCAUGGUUGCCAGAGGACACAGUGUGUGUGGCUUUCUCGUGAUUCUCCCACUCGGGUAUUGGUGGAUCCCUUCCUGGAAUAUAGACUGAGCACCGGACUUAAUGCAGGCAGGACCAGUGUCUACAAAGCAUUUACUCCUUUACUGGGCUAUGAAGGUUUGAGGAAGAUAUUUGACUCGCUAAAUCAGGGGUUCUCAGCCUUCCUAAGGCUGCAACUCUUUAAUACAGCUCCUCAUGUUGUGGUAACCCCCAAGCAUAAAAUUGUUUUUAUUGCUAUUUCA